rnacentral:rRNA from 1 species
UACGAAGGGGGCUAGCGUUGUUCGGAUUUACUGGGCGUAAAGCGCACGUAGGCGGAUAUUUAAGUCAGGGGUGAAAUCCCGGGGCUCAACCCCGGAACUGCCUUUGAUACUGGGUAUCUUUGAGUCCGGAAGAGGUGAGUGGAAUUCCGAGUGUAGAGGUGAAAUUCGUAGAUAUUCGGAGGAGCACCAGUGGCGAAGGCGGCUCACUGGUCCGGUACUGACGCUGAGGUGCGAAAGCGUGGGGAUCAAACAGG